rnacentral:rRNA from 18 species
UUAAAUUGAAGAGUUUGAUCAUGGCUCAGAUUGAACGCUGGCGGCAGGCCUAACACAUGCAAGUCGAACGGUAACAGGAAGCAGCUUGCUGCUUUGCUGACGAGUGGCGGACGGGUGAGUAAUGUCUGGG